AAAUAAGGGAGGAAGGAAAAUUUGCAAGGAAAAUAACCUUUUUUUUUUCCACUUGACUUAAGUUAAAGAGGAAAAUAGAGAGAGAAAAUUUUGAAAGGAAAAUAUGUGUUAGAUUUCACUCCCAUUUUCUCUCCAAAUUCAGGGGAAAGUGGAAGGAAAAUGUUUAAAAUUACAAAAAUAUACCUAUAUUUUUUAGGUUCUUUUUGAAUAUUUAGGAGUAGAAUUGUAAUUUUAUUAUUCAAAAAAAUAACAUUGUAAUUUUAUUAUUCAAAAAAAUAAC
rnacentral:misc_RNA from 1 species